rnacentral:rRNA from 1 species
AGUGAACGCUGGCGGUAGGCCUAACACAUGCAAGUCGAACGGUAGCACAGAGGAGCUUGCUCCUUGGGUGACGAGUGGCGGACGGGUGAGGAAUGCAUCGGAAUCUACUCUUUCGUGGGGGAUAACGUAGGGAAACUUACGCUAAUACCGCAUACGACCUACGGGUGAAAGCAGGGGACCUUUUAGGCCUUGCGCGAUUGAAUGAGCCGAUGUCCGAUUAGCUAGUUGGCGGGGUAAUGGCCCACCAAGGCGACGAGCGGUAGCUGGUCUGAGAGGAUGAUCAGCCACACUGGAACUGAGACACGGUCCAGACUCCUACGGGAGGCAGCAGUGGGGAAUAUUGGACAAUGGGCGCAAGCCUGAUUCAGCCAUACCGCGUGGGUGAAGAAGGCCUUCGGGUUGUAAAGCCCUUUUGUUGGGAAAGAAAAGCAGCCGGCUAAUACCCGGUUGUUCUGACGGUACCCAAAGAAUAAGCACCGGCUAACUUCGUGCCAGCCGCCGCCGUAAUAC